rnacentral:rRNA from 1 species
UACGAAGGGGGCUAGCGUUGCUCGGAAUCACUGGGCGUAAAGCGCACGUAGGCGGAUUGUUAAGUCAGGGGUGAAAUCCUGGAGCUCAACUCCAGAACUGCCUUUGAUACUGGCAAUCUCGAGUCCGGGAGAGGUGAGUGGAACUGCGAGUGUAGAGGUGAAAUUCGUAGAUAUUCGCAAGAACACCAGUGGCGAAGGCGGCUUACUGGUCCGGUUCUGACGCUGAGGCGCGAAAGCGUGGGGAGCAAACAGG